AUAGGAGACAAGAAGGCAUCUUCUUGUUUUUAAAAGACCUAGCAAUAGGUAUGCUUAGGGAGGAGCUUGCGUCACAUUAGUUAGUUGGUGGGGUAAAGGCCUAACAAGACUAUGAUGUGUAGCCGGGCUGAGAGGUUGAACGGCCACAUUGGGACUGAGACACGGCCCAAACUCCUACGGGAGGCAGCAGUAGGGAAUUUUCGGCAAUGGAGGAAACUCUGACCGAGCAACGCCGCGUGAACGAUGAAGUAUUUCGGUACGUAAAGUUCUUUUAUUAGGGAAGAAUAAAUGAUGGAAAAAUCAUUCUGACGGUACCUAAUGAAUAAGCCCCGGCUAACUAUGUGCCAGCAGCCGCGGUAAUACAUAGGGGGCAAGCGUUAUCCGGAAUUAUUGGGCGUAAAGGGUGCGUAGGCGGUUAAAUAAGUUUAUGGUCUAAGUGCAAUGCUCAACAUUGUGAUGCUAUAAAAACUGUUUAGCUAGAGUAAGAUAGAGGCAAGUGGAAUUCCAUGUGUAGUGGUAAAAUGCGUAAAUAUAUGGAGGAACACCAGUAGCGAAGGCGGCUUGCUGGGUCUUUACUGACGCUGAGGCACGAAAGCGUGGGGAGCAAGCAGGAUUAGAUACCCUGGUAGUCCACGCCGUAAACGAUGAGUACUAAACGUUGGGUAAAACCAGUGUUGAAGUUAACACAUUAAGUACUCCGCCUGAGUAGUACGUACGCAAGUAUGAAACUUAAAGGAAUUGACGGGACUCCGCACAAGCGGUGGAUCAUGUUGUUUAAUUCGAAGGUACCCGAAAAACCUCACCAGGUCUUGACAUGCUUCUGCAAAGCUGUAGAAACACAGUGGAGGUUAUCAGUUGCACAGGUGGUGCAUGGUUGUCGUCAGCUCGUGUCGUGAGAUGUUGGGUUAAGUCCCGCAACGAGCGCAACCCUUAUUGUUAGUUACCAGCACGUAAUGGUGGGGACUUUAGCAAGACUGCCAGUGAUAAAUUGGAGGAAGGUGGGGACGACGUCAAAUCAUCAUGCCCCUUAUGACCUGGGCUACAAACGUGAUACAAUGGCUGUUACAAAGGGUAGCUGAAGCGCAAGUUUUUGGCAAAUCUCAAAAAAACAGUCUCAGUUCGGAUUGAAGUCUGCAACUCGACUUCAUGAAGUUGGAAUCGCUAGUAAUCGCGAAUCAGCAUGUCGCGGUGAAUACGUUC
rnacentral:rRNA from 1 species